rnacentral:lncRNA from 1 species
AAGGAGGAACCCAAGCCAUUUUGUAUAAGCCAACAGCUUCUCUACCAAGAUCCAGAGGCCUCCUCAGAGAAGGGUCCUAUAUCAUGUGGAGUAAGCAUGAAUGUUUAGUGAACAUAACUAUACAAUGUAACUGCUUCACUAACUUGUGGACAGAAAUCAAGUUGUGUUUAAAAGAAGGAACUAGCAGUACAUUGUGAAGACCUCCUCAGAGAAGGGUCCUAUAUCAUGUGGAGUAAGCAUGAAUUUUCAGUGAACAAAACUAUACAAUGCAACU